GUUGGCUUAGAAGCAGCCACUCAUUUAAAGAGUGCGUAAUAGCUCACUAGUCGAGAGAUCCUGCGCCGAAAAUGUCCGGGGCUCAAACUUACCACCGAAGCUACGGGCUUGCGUAAGCAAGCGGUAGGGGAGCGUCGUAAUCGGGCUGAAGUCGUACCGUAAGGAGCGGUGGACUGAUUACGAGUGAGAAUGUUGGCAUUAGUAGCGAGAUGUAGGUGAGAAUCCUACAGGCCGAAUAUCUAAGGUUUCCUCAGGAAGGCUCGUCCGCUGAGGGUUAGUCGGGACCUAAGCCGAGGCCGAAAGGCGUAGGCGAUGGACAAUCGGUUGAUAUUCCGAUACCACUACCAUCGUUAUUAUCGAGGGUGUGACGGAGAAGGAUAGUGUGUGCUAGCGAUUGGAAAUGCUAGUCUAAGCGUUUAGGGAGUUACGGUAGGCAAAUCCGCUGUAACAAUUCUGAGGCGUGAUGGGGAAGGCCAUAUAGGCCGAAGUACAUGAUUCCAUGCUUCCAAGAAAAGCAUCUAGAGAGAGAAGUAGUGCCCGUACCGCAAACCGACACAGGUAGAUGAGGAGAGAAUCCUAAGGCCGGCGGAAGAAUUGCAGUUAAGGAACUAGGCAAAUUGACCCCGUAAGUUCGCGAGAAGGGGUGCCUGCGAGAGCAGGCCGCAGAGAAUAGGCCCAAGCAACUGUUUAGCAAAAACACAGGUCUCUGCUAAAGCGUAAGCUGAUGUAUAGGGGCUGACGCCUGCCCGGUGCUGGAAGGUUAAGGGGAACACUUAGCGCAAGCGAAGGUGUGAACUUAAGCCCCAGUAAACGGCGGCCGUAACUAUAACGGUCCUAAGGUAGCGAAAUUCCUUGUCAGGUAAGUUCUGACCCGCACGAAUGGCGUAAUGACUUGGGCACUGUCUCAACUGCAAAUCCGGCGAAGUUGUAGUGCGAGUGAAGAUGCUCGCUACCCGCGAUUGGACGGAAAGACCCCGUAGAGCUUUACUGCAGCUUAGCAUUGAAUUCCGGUAUUGUCUGUACAGGAUAGGUGGGAGACUGGGAAACUAGGGCGUCAGCCUUAGUGGAGUCAACCUUGGGAUACCACCCUGACAGUACUGGGGUUCUAACAGGACGCCAUGAAUCUGGUGACUGGACAUUGUUAGGUGGGCAGUUUGACUGGGGCGGUCGCCUCCUAAAAAGUAACGGAGGCGCCCAAAGGUUCCCUCAGAACGGUCGGAAAUCGUUCGUAGAGUGCAAAGGCAGAAGGGAGCCUGACUGCGAGACCUACAAGUCGAGCAGGGACGAAAGUCGGGCUUAGUGAUCCGGUGGUACCUCGUGGGAGGGCCAUCGCUCAACGGAUAAAAGCUACCUCGGGGAUAACAGGCUGAUCUCCCCCAAGAGUCCACAUCGACGGGGAGGUUUGGCACCUCGAUGUCGGCUCGUCGCAUCCUGGGGCUGUAGUAGGUCCCAAGGGUUGGGCUGUUCGCCCAUUAAAG
rnacentral:rRNA from 1 species